AUGGCUGUUUCUCAAUUCCAAGAACGCAAAGAACGGACUUGCGUCCUCGUGGAGAUCGGUCUUGCCAGGGGACCUUGGAAGAACGAACUCGGAAGUUUUGCCGCAAUGACUUCUGGGGCGUAAAGCGAUUUCAGCAAGUCUGCACUCGAUGCAUCCUCGAUAUCAAGAACACAUCCGGGUAUUUUCAUGCGUCCUCUGUCCUUGCGUUCUUGAGAAUUGGAAUGAACUUCGACCGUUAAUGAUGACGUAGAGCGAGGACACGAGGACGCAAGAUCGCUGAAGAACGCAUAUUGAGAAACAGCCAAUGAUGAGCCAUUUGACAUGUCACAAAAAAGGAUAUAUCCCUCUGGGGCCGAAAAGAGAACAAAGAAAAGGACCGAGGAUGAGGAAAAAAAGAGCAAGAUAAAGGAACACUGUUGAAGUACUUUGGAGCACAACCAACUCUACCCGCCCCUGAUGUUUCAUCAAGUGUCAGUGCCUCCACAGCUGAUGAUGCAGCAGAUGAGGUUUUUCUUGCUGGCCAAUGUUAACAUUCCAUAGCCUGUUAAUAUGACAUGACACAUUGAAGAAUAAAGUAUUUUAUUUAAGUAUA